GACGACGACAAUGAUAAAAUCUAUAUUUUCAAUUAAUUCAUUAAUAUCAUUAAUAUCAUUGUGUGAGUUCCGUAAAAGCUAUAAAACGACGUACUCAAUAUCAAAAAUAAAUAAAACUAUGGAUAAAUAACAUCUGUAAACUGUCCUGUUACACCAUAUCGAGAAGUUAUCCAAUGAGAAAGCCGCUUAAAUUUUGGAGGAUUUACGAUGGACGACAGAGAUAAAUAACGCUUUGUUAGUGAGAGACUUUAAAGGCGCAAGUAAGGAGAAAGGAGAGCAAAAUCCAAUCCAAAAUUUAAUAACAAAACAAUUUAAAAAUUGAUCAUUUGAACCAAAAUAAAA